rnacentral:rRNA from 1 species
UACAGAGGGGGCAAGCGUUGUUCGGAAUUACUGGGCGUAAAGGGCUCGUAGGUGGCCAACUAAGUCAGACGUGAAAUCCCUCAGCUUAACUGGGGAACUGCGUCUGAUACUGGAUGGCUUGAGUGAAGUCGAGGUAGGCGGAAUUGACGGUGUAGCGGUGAAAUGCUUAGAUAUCGUCAAGAACACCGAUAGUGAAGACAGCUUACUAGGCUUAUACUGACGCUGAGGCACGAAAGUGUGGGGAUCAAACAGG